rnacentral:hammerhead_ribozyme from 1 species
AUCCGGUUGACGAGUCUCAAAUAGGACGAAACGCUCAUCCUGGAU